UACGUAGGGUGCAAGCGUUAAUCGGAAUUACUGGGCGUAAAGCGUGCGCAGGCGGCCCGCUAAGACAGAUGUGAAAUCCCCGGGCUUAACCUGGGAACUGCAUUUGUGACUGGCGGGCUAGAGUAUGGCAGAGGGGGGUAGAAUUCCACGUGUAGCAGUGAAAUGCGUAGAGAUGUGGAGGAAUACCGAUGGCGAAGGCAGCCCCCUGGGCCAAUACUGACGCUCAUGCACGAAAGCGUGGGGAGCAAACAGG
rnacentral:rRNA from 1 species